rnacentral:rRNA from 1 species
CCUACGGGAGGCAGCAGUAGGGAAUUUUCGUCAAUGGGCGCAAGCCUGAACGAGCGAUGCCGCGUGAGUGAAGAAGGCCUUCGGGUCGUAAAGCUCUGUUGCGGGGGAAAAAAGGCAGCAUCAGGAAAUGGGUGCUGACUGAUGGUGCCCCGCCAGAAAGUCACGGCUAACUACGUGCCAGCAGCCGCGGUAAUACGUAGGUGGCGAGCGUUAUCCGGAAGGAUUGGGCGUAAAGGGUGCGCAGGCGGUCCUGCAAGUCUGGAGUGAAACGCAUGAGCUCAACUCAUGCAUGGCUUUGGAAACUGGAGGACUGGAGAGCAGGAGAGGGCGGUGGAACUCCAUGUGUAGCGGUAAAAUGCGUAGAUAUAUGGAAGAACACCAGCGGCGAAGGCGGCCGCCUGGCCUGUUGCUGACGCUGAGGCACGAAAGCGUGGGGAGCAAAUAGGAUUAGAUACCCCAGUAGUC